rnacentral:pre_miRNA from 1 species
UCACCUCCCCAGGCUGCCGGCCCCCAGGCUGGGCUGGGUGAGUAUCUCUUCAAAAGGCUCCCCCUCAAGCACGGCCAGGAGC